AGAGAGAAUGCACAAGCAGGGGAGGGGGCAGCAGGAGACGGAGUUGAUUCCCUGCUGAGCAUGGAACCCAGUCUUGAGGUCACCAGGCUCCAUCCCAGGGCACAGACAUCAAGACAUCAUCCAAAGUCAGAGGCUCAACUGAUUGAGCCAUGCAGGUGCCCAGUCAGGCUCCAUACCCAGCAUGCAGCCCGAUGCGGGGCUUGAACUCGUAACCCUGAGAUGGGGGGAGACCUGAACAAGAUCAAGAGUUCUGAUGCUUAAUCAACUGAGUAACUCAGGCAUCCCAAAGAUAAAACCAUGUUUCCAGUACCAUCCUAAAUAAACUUAUUGAUGAAAACAGAACUAAGGAGCAACACAGGGACUAAAAUAGACAUAUCCUGAUUUUUACAACCAGUGUUUUCUAUUAUCCCACAGAUGCCAACACUUGAAAAUGGUAUUUUAGGAAAGUGAGUAUGAUAUGCGGAAUGGAUUGGAUGAGGCAAGAAACCAGAAGCAAGAAGAGAACAACAGCUAUUGCUGUAAUCACUCCAAAACACCCACAAGUUACAAGAUACCACUAUUUUUUGAAGAAAUGCUAAUAACAUGGUAUCUGGAUUUUAUCAAUGGAACCUAAAAUCAAAAGUUAAAAGUAGAUAUUUUAUUAAAGUUAAUAUUCUAAGAUAAUGGUCUCCAAGUAGGAUUCACGGGGUGGGGGAUACAUAAGCAGUUACUUCAAGUGGUUCCCUGAAUCCUUACACAUAUCAACCAGCAUCCAGAGAAAAAUACGUACUAUCUUUCAUAUUUAUGCAGCAGAUAUUACAAUUAAUAAAACCCUGUUUAUCUAAAAGUUUUCCUGAAUGCAGCCUGAUACUUUAUCUCAAAUUUUUUCAGUGGGUACUAAAAACACAAACACAUUGUGUAAGCAUACACAGAAGUGUGUACGCAAUGAAAGGGGAAAAGCAGUUCUGCUCCUCUAAGAGACAAAUCCCUUGGACCAUUUGAAGAAUCCACCUGGGGAUCCCUGGGUUGCUCAGCAUUUUGGCGCCUGCCUUCGGCCCGGGGCGUGAUCCUCGAGUCCCGGGGUCGAGUCCCGUGUUGGGCUCCUUGCAUGGAGCCUGCUUCUCCCUCUGCCUGUGUCUCUGCGUCUCUCGCACGCUCUCUCUCACGAAUAAAUAAAAACAUAAAAAAAAUAAAAAAAAAAAGAAUCCACCUGAAGAAUAAAUCUCUGUCUUACAGUUUCAAGCUCACCACAAUUUCUGCUCAUGCAAGGGCCAUUAAUGCCUGUUAAGUGCCAGGCACUAUAUUAAGCAAUGAGGAUACAGAGAUAAUUAAGUCCCAAUUGCUAGCCCUGGAGGCUUUCAGUCCAGGGAAGUCAGAAAUGUAAAUGUUUAUGAAUCUAAUGAACUGAAUGUUAUAGAAACACAGAAGCAUUUAACAUAUGAAGAAAAAAGUUUUAAUCUGAAUGUUAAUGUCUUACUUUCAAACUGUCAAAAACCUUUUCCAAACUAAAUGUCAACUAUUGAAUGAAAAAAAAGCUAGCACUAUUCUGAAAGUAAAUACAUACAAUAAAAUUUUUUGAGAAUUAACUAUUAAA